rnacentral:rRNA from 1 species
GACGAACGCUGGCGGCGUGCUUAACACAUGCAAGUCGAACGGAAAGGCCCUGCUUUUGUGGGGUGCUCGAGUGGCGAACGGGUGAGUAACACGUGAGUAACCUGCCCUUGACUUUGGGAUAACUUCAGGAAACUGGGGCUAAUACCGGAUAGGAGCUCCUGCUGCAUGGUGGGGGUUGGAAAGUUUCGGCGGUUGGGGAUGGACUCGCGGCUUAUCAGCUUGUUGGUGGGGUAGUGGCUUACCAAGGCUUUGACGGGUAGCCGGCCUGAGAGGGGGACCGGCCACAUUGGGACUGGGAUACGGCCCAGACUCCUACGGGAGGCAGCAGUGGGGAAUAUUGCACAAUGGGCGGAAGCCUGAUGCAGCAACGCCGCGUGCGGGAUGACGGCCUUCGGGUUGUAAACCGCUUUCGCCUGUGACGAAGCGUGAGUGACGGUAGUGGGUAAAGAAGCACCGGCUAACUACGUGCCAGCCGCCGCAGUAAUAC